GAAUUCGCCCUUAGAGGGUGAUUUUGGCUCAGGAUGAACGCUGGCGGCGUGCUUAACACAUGCAAGUCGAGCGAAGCACUUUUGCGGAUUUCUUCGGAUUGAAGCAAUUGUGACUGAGCGGCGGACGGGUGAGUAACGCGUGGGUAACCUGCCUCAUACAGGGGGAUAACAGUUGGAAACGGCUGCUAAUACCGCAUAAGCGCACAGUACCGCAUGGUACCGUGUGAAAAACUCCGGUGGUAUGAGAUGGACCCGCGUCUGAUUAGGUAGUUGGUGGGGUAACGGCCUUCCAAGCCGACGAUCAGUAGCCGACCUGAGAGGGUGACCGGCCACAUUGGGACUGAGACACGGCCCAAACUCCUACGGGAGGCAGCAGUGGGGAAUAUUGCACAAUGGGGGAAACCCUGAUGCAGCGACGCCGCGUGAGCGAUGAAGUAUUUCGGUAUGUAAAGCUCUAUCAGCAGGGAAGAAAAUGACGGUACCUGACUAAGAAGCCCCGGCUAACUACGUGCCAGCAGCCGCGGUAAUACGUAGGGGGCAAGCGUUAUCCGGAUUUACUGGGUGUAAAGGGAGCGUAGACGGCAUGGCAAGCCAGAUGUGAAAGCCCGGGGCUCAACCCCGGGACUGCAUUUGGAACUGUCAGGCUAGAGUGUCGGAGAGGAAAGCGGAAUUCCUAGUGUAGCGGUGAAAUGCGUAGAUAUUAGGAGGAACACCAGUGGCGAAGGCGGCUUUCUGGACGAUGACUGACGUUGAGGCUCGAAAGCGUGGGGAGCAAACAGGAUUAGAUACCCUGGUAGUCCACGCCGUAAA
rnacentral:rRNA from 1 species